rnacentral:rRNA from 1 species
GUCGUCAGCUCGUGUUGUGAAAUGUUGGGUUAAGUCCCGCAACGAGCGCAACCCUUAUCCUUUGUUGCCAGCGGUUCGGCCGGGAACUCAAAGGAGACUGCCAGUGAUAAACUGGAGGAAGGUGGGGAUGACGUCAAGUCAUCAUGGCCCUUACGAGUAGGGCUACACACGUGCUACAAUGGCAUAUACAAAGAGAAGCGACCUCGCGAGAGCAAGCGGACCUCAUAAAGUAUGUCGUAGUCCGGAUUGGAGUCUGCAACUCGACUCCAUGAAGUCGGAAUCGCUAGUAAUCGUAGAUCAGAAUGCUACGGUGAAUACGUUCCCGGGCCUUGUACACACCGCCCGUCACACCAUGGGAGUGGGUUGCAAAAGAAGUAGGUAGCUUAACCUUCGGGAGGGCGCUUACCACUUUGUGAUUCAUGACUGGGGUGAAGUCGUAACAAGGUAACCGUAGGGGAACCUGCGGUUGGAUCACCUCCUUACCUUAAAGAAGC